rnacentral:tRNA from 1 species
UUUAGCUCAGUGGUAGAGCGCUUGCCUAGGAAGCACAAGGCCCUGGGUUCGGUUCCCGGAA